AGACAAUAGAUACCCUGGUAGUCCAUGCCGUAAACGUUGGGCACUAGGUGUGGGGACAUUCCCCGUUUUCCGCGCCGUAGCUAAACGCAUUAAGUGCCCCGCCUGGGGAGUACGGCCGCAAGGCUAAAACUCAAAGGAAUUGACGGGGGCCCGCACAAGCGGCGGAGCAUGCGGAUUAAUUCGAUGCAACGCGAAGAACCUUACCAAGGCUUGACAUGGACCGGACCGCCGCAGAAAUGUGGUUUCCCCUUUGGGGCCGGUUUACAGGUGGUGCAUGGUUGUCGUCAGCUCGUGUCGUGAGAUGUUGGGUUAAGUCCCGCAACGAGCGCAACCCUCGUUCUAUGUUGCCAGCGGUUUCGGCCGGGGACUCAUAGGAGACUGCCGGGGUUCAACUCGGAGGAAGGUGGGGACGACGUCAAAUCAUCAUGCCCCUUAUGUCUUGGGCUUCACGCAUGCUACAAUGGCCGGUACAAAGGGUUGCGAUACUGUGAGGUGGAGCUAAUCCCAAAAGCCGGUCUCAGUUCGGAUUGGGGUCUGCAACUCGACCCCAUGAAGUCGGAGUC
rnacentral:rRNA from 1 species